UACGGAGGGUGCGAGCGUUGUCCGGAAUCACUGGGCGUAAAGGGCGCGUAGGCGGCGCGGAUAGUCGGCGGUGAAAGCCCGGAGCUCAACUCCGGGUCGGCCGUCGAUACUUCCGGGCUUGAGCACUGUAGAGGCAGAUGGAAUUCCGGGUGUAGCGGUGGAAUGCGUAGAGAUCCGGAAGAACACCGGUGGCGAAGGCGGUCUGCUGGGCAGUUGCUGACGCUGAUGCGCGACAGCGUGGGGAGCAAACGAGGAUAGAA
rnacentral:rRNA from 1 species